rnacentral:rRNA from 1 species
GAUGAACGCUGGCGGCGUGCCUAAUACAUGCAAGUCGAGCGAACGGACGAGAAGCUUGCUUCUCUGAUGUUAGCGGCGGACGGGUGAGUAACACGUGGAUAACCUACCUAUAAGACUGGGAUAACUUCGGGAAACCGGAGCUAAUACCGGAUAAUAUUUUGAACCGCAUGGUUCAAAAGUGAAAGACGGUCUUGCUGUCACUUAUAGAUGGAUCCGCGCUGCAUUAGCUAGUUGGUAAGGUAACGGCUUACCAAGGCAACGAUGCAUAGCCGACCUGAGAGGGUGAUCGGCCACACUGGAACGGAGACACGGUCCAGACUCCUACGGGAGGCAGCAGUAGGGAAUCUUCCGCAAUGGGCGACAGCCUGACGGAGCAACGCCGCGUGAGUGAUGAAGGUCUUCGGAUCGUAAAACUCUGUUAUGAGGGAAGAACAUAUGUGUAAGUAACUGUGCACAUCGUGACGGUACCUAAUCAGAAAGCCACGGCUAACUACGUG